UCCAGAGGUCUCAAGCGUUGUUCGGAUUCAUUGGGCGUAAAGGGUGCGUAGGCGGCGCGGUAAGUCGGGUGUGAAAUCUCGGAGCUUAACUCCGAAACUGCAUUCGAUACUGCCGUGCUUGAGGACUGGAGAGGAGACUGGAAUUUACGGUGUAGCGGUGAAAUGCGUAGAUAUCGUAAGGAAGACCAGUGGCGAAGGCGGGUCUCUGGGCUGACACUGACGCUCAUGCACGAAAGCGUGGGGAGCAAACAGG
rnacentral:rRNA from 1 species